rnacentral:rRNA from 1 species
UGCGUAGGCGGGUCUUUAAGUCAGGGGUGAAAUCCUGGAGCUCAACUCCAGAACUGCCUUUGAUACUGAGGAUCUUGAGUCCGGGAGAGGUGAGUGGAACUGCGAGUGUAGAGGUGAAAUUCGUAGAUAUUCGCAAGAACACCAGUGGCGAAGGCGGCUCACUGGCCCGGUACUGACGCUGAGGCACGAAAGCUGGGGAGCAAACA